rnacentral:rRNA from 1 species
AGUCGUACGAGAAAGCCACUUCGGUGGUUAGUAAAGUGGCGCACGGGUGAGUAACGCGUGGAUAAUCUGCCCUUAGGUUUGGGAUAACCCCGGGAAACCGGAGCUAAUACCGAAUGAGACCACGAUGACUUCGGUCGAUGUGGGAAAAGGUGGCCUCUUCUUGAAAGCCAUCGCCGAAGGAUGAGUCCGCGUUUGAUUAGCUUGUUGGUGAGGUAAAAGCUCACCAAGGCUCCGAUCAAUAGCUGGUCUGAGAGGACGAUCGGCCACACUGGAACUGAGACACGGUCCAGACUCCUACGGGAGGCAGCAGUCAGGAAUAUUGGGCAAUGGAGGCAACUCUGACCCAGCAACGCCGCGUGAAGGAUGAAGGCCUUAGGGUCGUAAACUUCUGUCGAGAGGGAAGAAACGCGUAUGGUUAAUAUCCGUGCGCCUGACGGUACCUCCAAAGGAAGCACCGGCUAACUCCGUGCCAGCAGCCGCGGUAAUACGGAGGGUGCAAGCGUUGUUCGGAUUUAUUGGGCGUAAAGCGAGUGUAGGCGGUUUGACAAGUCGGGUGUGAAAUCCCAGGGCCCAACCCUGGAACUGCAUCCGAUACUGUCAGGCUAGAGUCCCGGAGAGGAUGGCGGAAUUCCCGGUGUAGGGGUGAAAUCCGUAGAUAUCGGGAGGAACACCAGUGGCGAAGGCGGCCAUCUGGACGGUGACUGACGCUGAGACUCGAAAGUGUGGGUAGCAAACAGGAUUAGAUACCCUGGUAGUCCACACCG